rnacentral:rRNA from 1 species
CAGUCGCCGCGGUAAUACGUAGGGUGCGAGCGUUAAUCGGAAUUACUGGGCGUAAAGCGUGCGCAGGCGGUUAUGUAAGACAGUUGUGAAAUCCCCGGGCUCAACCUGGGAACUGCAUCUGUGACUGCAUAGCUAGAGUACGGUAGAGGGGGAUGGAAUUCCGCGUGUAGCAGUGAAAUGCGUAGAUAUGCGGAGGAACACCGAUGGCGAAGGCAAUCCCCUGGACCUGUACUGACGCUCAUGCACGAAAGCGUGGGGAGCAAACAGGAUUAGAUACCCGAGUAGUCCCUGUCUCUUAUAC